CUUUCUGGCACGCGGCGGUUGUGUAAUCUGGAGGUUAGGAGGUUGCUUGGCAUAAUUUCUGCUGGUGUUACUUUCCAGCAAAUAAGCCGAAAAGUCUGCACACCAUCCAGCUGAUGAAAAAAUCUUAUGGGCACGAAAUAUAAAGAAGCCCAAGGAGGCCAGAAAAAGUAAUUUUCUUCUUACAUCUCCUGGGUCUGGACACGGCUGGUCAUGUGCAUAAGCCUGGUACGCCAAACUUUCUAGAAAAUUUACACCGCACUGAUAAAGUCUAGUAAUAAAUUUUCGCGCAUUCCCUGGUAAUAAUGCAAAGCUUUACAUAUGGUUGCCAUUAAGUGUGUGUUUAGCGAUAUUUCCGCUGCUACCACCAUCAGUUGGCUAUGCAAACACAUGGUUGCUGCUGCUGGGCAUGUUUGCAACGAUGAUACGUCCCUUUGUUGUUAAAUCUCAUGUGCAUUGGCAUAUCAAAUUACCAGCCAUGGUGUGUAUUAUCA
rnacentral:lncRNA from 1 species